UACGGGGGGGGCAAGCGUUGUUCGGAAUUACUGGGCGUAAAGGGCCAGUAGGCGGCCAACUAAGUCCGACGUGAAAUCCCCAGGCUUAACCUGGGAACUGCGUCGGAUACUGGAUGGCUUGAAUUCGGGAGAGGGAUGCAGAAUUCCAGGUGUAGCGGUGAAAUGCGUAGAUAUCUGGAGGAAUACCGGUGGCGAAGGCGGCAUCCUGGACCGACAUUGACGCUGAACGACGAAAGCUAGGGGAGCAAACGGG
rnacentral:rRNA from 1 species